GGACUCGUAGCUCAGUUGGUUAGAGUACUACGUUGACAUCGUAGGGGUCACUGGUUCGAAUCCAGUCGGGUCCA
rnacentral:tRNA from 1 species